GUGCUCACUUUGAUAGCACAUAUACUAAAGUUAGAAUGAUACAGUGAUGAGCAUGGUCCCUGUGCAAGGAUAAUAUGCACAUUUGUGAAGCAGAAGUAAAUUAU
ensembl:snRNA U6 U6 spliceosomal RNA